AGCGAACGUUAGCGGCGCGCCUAACACAUGCAAGUCGCACGAGAAAGGGCUUCGGCCCCGGUAAAGUGGCGCACGGGUGAGUAACACGUGGGCAACCUGCCCAACCCUGGGGGAUAACCUGCCGUAAGGCGGGCUAAUACCGCGUACGAGGGCUCGACUUCGGUCGGGUUCUGAAAGCAGGCCUCUGUAUACAAGCUUGCGGGGUUGGAUGGGCCCGCGCUCCAUCAGCUAGUUGGUGAGGUAACGGCUCACCAAGGCUACGACGGAUAGCUGGUCUGAGAGGAUGAUCAGCCACACUGGAACUGAGACACGGUCCAGACUCCUACGGAAGGCAGCAGUGGGGAAUCUUGCGCAAUGGACGAAAGUCUGACGCAGCGACGCCGCGUGGGUGACGAAGGCCUUCGGGUUGUAAAGCCCUGUGGGGUGAGACGAACAGCUGGGGUUCGGAUAGGGCCUCGGUCUGACGGUAUCACCUUAGCAGGCACCGGCUAACUCUGUGCCAGCCGCCGCUGUAAGAC
rnacentral:rRNA from 1 species